AGUGAACGCUGGCGGUAGGCCUAACACAUGCAAGUCGAACGGCAGCACAGUAAGAGCUUGCUCUUACGGGUGGCGAGUGGCGGACGGGUGAGGAAUACAUCGGAAUCUACUUUUUCGUGGGGGAUAACGUAGGGAAACUUACGCUAAUACCGCAUACGACCUACGGGUGAAAGCAGGGGAUCUUCGGACCUUGCGCGAUUGAAUGAGCCGAUGUCGGAUUAGCUAGUUGGCGGGGUAAAGGCCCACCAAGGCGACGAUCCGUAGCUGGUCUGAGAGGAUGGUCGGCCACACUGGAACUGAGACACGGUCCAGACUCCUACGGGAGGCAGCAGUGGGGAAUAUUGGGCAAUGGGCGCAAGCCUGAUCCAGCCAUACCGCGUGGGUGAAGAAGGCCUUCGGGUUGUAAAGCCCUUUUGUUGGGAAAGAAAAGCAGCAGGUUAAUACCCCGCUGUUCUGACGGUACCCAAAGAAUAAGCACCGGCUAACUUCGUG
rnacentral:rRNA from 1 species